CCAAGGACACCAAGUCAUUUUGGUCAGGGCCAGGUCCACCGCCGAGAUCCUCGCUGCUUAUCAUGGUGUCUCAGGAGCAGCAACAUCAGCAUCACCCGGGAGCUGGUAGAGCUUUAAUGAACUACUCUGAAAGACCCAAGCACUCAUAAGACAAAGCAACGGACAUGCAUUGAGUUCCCAGUCCUACCGUCUAACCGAGAUAUGACUAUGGAUCUGCUACUUGAUCUUUCUGAGCUCCAUCUGUAAAACACAGAGAAAAACAAUACCAGCAUCACACAACAGGAGUCACCCUGGAGACAAAUGAAAGGAAACUGAAUGUGGAAUGGGGGGAGAGAAGGAUUUCCGUGGAGGAUCUGGGUAACUUCGGGAUCGUUCCGAGAGAUGAUCAUUUCACAGCAGGCUUAGCAGAGUCUUCGGAUGGAAGCUCUCAAGAGCAAGCCCAGAAAGUUUCUGGAGGGGUCAGUGAAAAAAUACCAUUUCUCAGUAUGGAUAUAAGUUAA
rnacentral:lncRNA from 1 species